rnacentral:rRNA from 1 species
AAGCGCUCUUGACCAGACUUGCGCCGGUUGAUCAUCCGCCGUUCUCGGUGGUGCACUCUGCCGGCUCAGGCCAGCAUCAGUUCGGCCCGGGGGAUAAAGGCUUCGGGAAUGUGGCUCUCUCCGGGGAGUGUUAUAGCCCGUUGCGUAAUACCCUGGGCUGGACUGAGGUUCGCGCAUCUGCAUGGAUGCUGGCGUAAUGGUUAUCAGUGA